rnacentral:rRNA from 1 species
AACGAACGCUGGCGGCGUGCCUAAUACAUGCAAGUCGAGCGGAAGUUGAAGAGCUUGCUCUUCAACUUUAGCGGCGGACGGGUGAGUAACACGUGGGCAACCUGCCCUGCAGAUCGGGAUAACUCCGGGAAACCGGUGCUAAUACCGAAUAGUUUUCGCCACCUCCUGGUGGCGUACGGAAAGACGGUUUCGGCUGUCACUGCCGGAUGGUCCCGCGGCGCAUUAGCUAGUGGGUGGGGUAACGGCCCACCAAGGCAACGAUGCGUAGCCGACCUGAGAGGGUGAUCGGCCACACUGGGACUGAGACACGGCCCAGACUCCUACGGGAGGCAGCAGCAGGGAAUCUUCCGCAAUGGACGAAAGUCUGACGGAGCAACGCCGCGUGAGUGACGAAGGUUUUCGGAUCGUAAAACUCUGUUGUGAGGGAAGAACAAGUACCACUUAACUACUGGUACCUUGACGGUACCUCACCAGAAAGCCACGGCUAACUACGUGCCAGCCGCCGCCGUAACAC